CUCCUCUCCAUUCUCUCCGCCAGCAGCAGGGGGUGUUGUCAUGGCAACCCCCACCCUUCCUUUUUUUUUUUUUUUUUUUAACGCCAGAGCCAGGAGCUCGGAAGGAUGAAGCCACAUGCAGCUUCUGUGCCACUCAGAGGAGCACAUGCAACAGUCGGAGCUGCGGCACUGGAAAACCGAUCUGGUGUUUUGAUUGGGACUCGCGGCCCCUGCUGCACAUCACAGACCGCCUGAGACCAGGACACCCAACGGAUUCAGCAGCGUCCGCAGCAGCGAUGUCGUGGCUCUUCCUGGACUGGUUCGUCCCCCUCUACCUGCUGGUGUCCGUGUUGGUGCUCGCGGGCUUCGGAGCGUGCCUGUACUUCCUCGAGCCCGGGCUGCAGGACGCCCACAAGUGGAGCAGCAAAACGAUGCGGCAUCACCCGCUGGUGGCCAGUGUGAACUGCAGAGACGACGAUAGCAAUGCCCUGAUAUGAUGGAGAGGGUGAGACGGAGCGGGGCGGGGGGUAGUGGAGGGGCCAUCUGGACAGGAGUGCUGAUGGGAGCCAACAAGAAGGAGAAGAAAAAUGGAAGAGGAAGGGGGGGGAUUGCCCAGUCCCACGAUUCCAGCUUUUCUCUGAUCUCUAACUUUAGGUUACGAUGAGGGAAAAGUGAAGCUCAGAGGGGGGGGGGCAGGUGGACGGAGGACAUGUUGCCCCUUUAGACAUGUGAUGAUGUAAAUUUCACCCUCAUCUUACUUGUGCCAACUUUUACAUACGUUUUUGUAAUCUGACAAUCGCUUUGCAUAAAUCACAAAGUUUACUCAUAUUGUGCAUUUAAUCAGUGAAGUGAACGACAUGAGUGCGUCGAGUUGGUCGACAGUUGGGGGGGAGGGUUUUCGACCAAGAUCGACCAAGAUUACAGAAAACAAGUAUUUGGUAAUGCUCGACGGUGUAUAUUUGUGUUUGUUUCCAUUGUUUUUACUUGACAGCAUGGUGAGGAAACUGUGGGUGUGUAACGGCCCUCUUUUGAUGAUCAUAUAUGCUUCCUUCCUUGAUACAAAUUAAAACUGUUCAAUCCUCAA